CCAGUCGGCCGGACAGCCGCUGUUUUUUCGAAGACAGAGGAAAGUCCGGGCUCCACGGAGAAACGGCGCCGGAUAACGUCCGGCGGGGGCGACCCCAGGGAAAGCGCCACAGAAAGCAAACCGCCUUCAGUCCGCUGGAGGUAAGGGUGAAAGGGUGCGGUAAGAGCGCACCGCGUGGGCGGCAACGUCGACGGCACGGCAAGCCCCGCCGGGAGCAAAACCGAAUAGGGACGACAGGAGGCGAGCCGAGGCGCGCCUCCACCCCUUCUCCGGGGCGUCGUCCGGGUUGGUUGCACGAGGCCUCCAGCAAUGGCGGUCCCAGAUGAAUGGCUGUCACGCGCCGCAAGGCGCCAUACAGAACCCGGCUUACAGGCCGACUGGCGCC
rnacentral:RNase_P_RNA from 1 species